UGCCAGCAGCCGCGGUAAUACGGAGGUUGCAAGCGUUGUUCGGAUUUACUGGGCGUAAAGGGAGCGCAGGCGGCUAGGUCAGUCUGAAGUGGAAGCCCGGGGCUCAACUGGGGAGGGUCGUUCGAUACUGCUUGGCUCGAAGAUAGGAGAGGGAAGUGGAAUUUCAGGUGUAGUGGUGAAAUGCGUAGAUAUCUGAAGGAACACCAGUGGCGAAGGCGACUUUCUGGCCUAUUCUUGACGCUGAGGCGCGAAAGCUAGGGGAGCGAACGGGAUUAGAUA
rnacentral:rRNA from 1 species